ACACAUGCAAGUCGAGCGGGGGAAGGUAGCUUGCUACCGGACCUAGCGGCGGACGGGUGAGUAAUGCUUAGGAAUCUGCCUAUUAGUGGGGGACAACAUCUCGAAAGGGAUGCUAAUACCGCAUACGUCCUACGGGAGAAAGCAGGGGAUCUUCGGACCUUGCGCUAAUAGAUGAGCCUAAGUCGGAUUAGCUAGUUGGUGGGGUAAAGGCCUACCAAGGCGACGAUCUGUAGCGGGUCUGAGAGGAUGAUCCGCCACACUGGGACUGAGACACGGCCCAGACUCCUACGGGAGGCAGCAGUGGGGAAUAUUGGACAAUGGGGGGAACCCUGAUCCA
rnacentral:rRNA from 1 species